rnacentral:rRNA from 1 species
GGGAUAACACUUGGAAACAGGUGCUAAUACCGCAUAACCAUAGUUACCGCAUGGUAACUAUGUAAAAGGUGGCUAUGCUACCGCUUUUUGAUGGGCCCGCGACGCAUUAGCUAGUUGGUGGGGUAAAGGCUUACCAAGGCAAUGAUGCGUAGCCGAACUGAGAGGUUGAUCGGCCACAUUGGGACUGAGACACGGCUCAAACUCCUACGGGAGGCAGCAGUAGGGAAUCUUCCACAAUGGGCGAAAGCCUGAUGGAGCAACGCCGCGUGGGUGAAGAAGGUCUUCGGAUCGUAAAACCCUGUUGUUAGAGAAGAAAGUGCGUGAGAGUAACUGUUCACGUUUCGACGGUAUCUAACCAGAAAGCCACGGCUAACUACGUGCCAGCAGCCGCGGUAAUACGUAGGUGGCAAGCGUUAUCCGGAUUUAUUGGGCGUAAAGAGAACGCAGGCGGUCUUUUAAGUCUGAUGUGAAAGCCUUCGGCUUAACCGGAGUAGUGCAUUGGAAACUGGGAGACUUGAGUGCAGAAGAGGAGAGUGGAACUCCAUGUGUAGCGGUGAAAUGCGUAGAUAUAUGGAAGAACACCAGUGGCGAAAGCGGCUCUCUGGUCUGUAACUGACGCUGAGGUUCGAAAGCGUGGGUAGCAAACAGGAUUAGAUACCCUGGUAGUCCAUGCCGUAAACGAUGAGUGAUAAGUGUUGG